UGUUCUAACGUGGACCCGUAAUCCGGGUUGCGGACAGUGUCUGGUGGGUAGUUUGACUGGGGCGGUCUCCUCCUAAAGAGUAACGGAGGAGCACGAAGGUUGGCUAAUCCUGGUCGGACAUCAGGAGGUUAGUGCAAUGGCAUAAGCCAGCUUGACUGCGAGCGUGACGGCGCGAGCAGGUGCGAAAGCAGGUCAUAGUGAUCCGGUGGUUCUGAAUGGAAGGGCCAUCGCUCAACGGAUAAAAGGUACUCCGGGGAUAACAGGCUGAUACCGCCCAAGAGUUCAUAUCGACGGCGGUGUUUGGCACCUCGAUGUCGGCUCAUCACAUCCUGGGGCUGAAGUAGGUCCCAAGGGUAUGGCUGUUCGCCAUUUAAAGUGGUACGCGAGCUGGGUUUAGAACGUCGUGAGACAGUUCGGUCCCUAUCUGCCGUGGGCGCUGGAGAACUGAGGGGGGCUGCUCCUAGUACGAGAGGACCGGAGUGGACGCAUCACUGGUGUUCGGGUUGUCAUGCCAAUGGCACUGCCCGGUAGCUAAAUGCGGAAGAGAUAAGUGCUGAAAGCAUCUAAGCACGAAACUUGCCCCGAGAUGAGUUCUCCCUGAGACUUAAAGUCUCCUGAAGGAACGUUGAAGACGACGACGUUGAUAGGCCGGGUGUGUAAGCGCAGCGAUGC
rnacentral:rRNA from 1 species